AGAGUUUGAUCCUGGCUCAGGAUGAACGCUGGCGGCGUGCCUAACACAUGCAAGUCGAACGAGCAAAUACAUUUGAUUUCUUCGGAAUGAAGAUGUAGGCGCGAGUGGCGGACGGGUGAGUAACGCGUGAGUAAUCUGCCUCAUACAGGAGAAUAACACUAAGAAAUUGGUGCUAAUACUCCAUAAGCUCACAUUAUGACAUCAUAGAGUGAGAAAAGAUUUAUCGGUAUGAGAGGAGCUCGCGUCUGAUUAGCUAGUUGGUGGGGUAACGGCCUACCAAGGCAACGAUCAGUAGCCGACCUGAGAGGGUGAUCGGCCACAUUGGAACUGAGACACGGUCCAAACUCCUACGGGAGGCAGCAGUGGGGAAUAUUGCACAAUGGGGGAAACCCUGAUGCAGCAACGCCGCGUGAAGGAAGAAGUAUUUCGGUAUGUAAACUUCUAUCGACAGGGAAGAAACAAAUGACGGUACCUGAAUAAGAAGCACCGGCUAAAUACGUGCCAGCAGCCGCGGUAAUACGUAUGGUGCAAGCGUUAUCCGGAUUUACUGGGUGUAAAGGGUGAGUAGGCGGUCAUGCAAGUCAUAUGUGAAAUGUCAGGGCUUAACCUUGGCGCUGCAUAAGAAACUGUAUGACUAGAGUGCAGGAGAGGUAAGCGGAAUUCCUAGUGUAGCGGUGAAAUGCGUAGAUAUUAGGAAGAACACCGGUGGCGAAGGCGGCUUACUGGACUGUUACUGACGCUGAGUCACGAAAGCGUGGGGAGCAAACAGGAUUAGAUACCCUGGUAGUCCACGCCGUAAACGAUGAGUGCUAGGUGUUGGCCAGAGAUGGUCGGUGCCGCAGCAAACGCAAUAAGCACUCCACCUGGGGAGUACGACCGCAAGGUUGAAACUCAAAGGAAUUGACGGGGACCCGCACAAGCGGUGGAGCAUGUGGUUUAAUUCGAAGCAACGCGAAGAACCUUACCUAAACUUGACAUCGAUCUGACAAUCUGUGUAAUGCAGACUCUCUUCGGAGCAGAGAAGACAGGUGGUGCAUGGUUGUCGUCAGCUCGUGUCGUGAGAUGUUGGGUUAAGUCCCGCAACGAGCGCAACCCUUAUCGCUAGUAGCCAUCAUUCAGUUGGGCACUCUAGUGAGACUGCCGUGGAUAACACGGAGGAAGGUGGGGAUGACGUCAAAUCAUCAUGCCCCUUAUGUUUAGGGCUACACACGUGCUACAAUGGCUGUUACAAAGUGAAGCGAGCUCGCGAGAGUAAGCAAACCACAAAAAAGCAGCCCCAGUUCGGAUUGUAGUCUGCAACUCGACUACAUGAAGUUGGAAUCGCUAGUAAUCGCAGAUCAGAAUGCUGCGGUGAAUACGUUCCCGGGUCUUGUACACACCGCCCGUCACACCAUGGGAGUUGGAAGCACCCGAAGCCUGUGACCCAACCGUAAGGAGGGAGCAGUCGAAGGUGAAGCCAGUGACUGGGGUGAAGUCGUAACAAGGUAGCCGUAUCGGAAGGUGCGGCUG
rnacentral:rRNA from 1 species